AUCGAUGAAGAACGCAGCGAAAUGCGAUAAGUAAUGUGAAUUGCAGAAUUCAGUGAAUCAUCGAAUCUUUGAACGCACAUUGCGCCCUCUGGUAUUCCGGGGGGCAUGCCUGUUCGAGCGUCAUUACAACCCUCAAGCUCUGCUUGGUAUUGGGCCUCACCCGUCAGGGUGGGCCUUAAAAUCAGUGGCGGUGCCAUUCGGCUUCAAGCGUAGUAAUUUUCUCGCUCUGGAGUACCGUUUGCGUGCCUGCCAGCAAACCCAUAUUUUUUAAAGGUUGACCUCGGAUCAGGUAGGGAUACCCGCUGAACUUAAGCAUAUCAAUAAGCGGAGGAAAAGAAACCAACAGGGAUUACCUCAGUAACGGCGAGUGAAGCGGUAACAGCUCAAAUUUGAAAUCUGGCCUUCUGGUCCGAGUUGUAAUUUGUAGAGGAUGUUUCGAACGUGGUCCGGUCUAAGUUCCUUGGAACAGGACGUCAUAGAGGGUGAGAAUCCCGUAUGCGACUGGGUGCCUAAGUUCAUGUGAAACUCCUUCGACGAGUCGAGUUGUUUGGGAAUGCAGCUCAAAAUGGGUGGUAAAUUUCAUCUAAAGCUAAAUAUUGGCCAGAGACCGAUAGCGCACAAGUAGAGUGAUCGAAAGAUGAAAAGCACUUUGGAAAGAGAGUUAAACAGUACGUGAAAUUGUUGAAAGGGAAGCGCUUGCAACCAGACUUGCAUGCAGUUGAUCAUCCGAUGUUUUCACCGGUGCACUCGAUUGUAUUCAGGCCAGCAUCGGUUUUGGUGGUUGGAUAAAGGCCUUGGGAAUGUAGCUUCUUUCGGGGAGUGUUAUAGCCCUCGGUGCAAUGCAGCCUACCGGGACCGAGGACCGCGCUUCGGCUAGGAUGCUGGCGUAAUGGUUGUAAGCGACCCGUCUUGAAACACGG
rnacentral:rRNA from 1 species